rnacentral:rRNA from 1 species
UACGGAGGGUGCAAGCGUUAUCCGGAUUCACUGGGUUUAAAGGGUGCGUAGGCGGCUUUGCAAGUGACGGGUGAAAUCCCUCGGCUUAACCGAGGAACUGCCUGUCAGACUGCAUGGCUUGAGACCAGGAGAGGUGAGUGGAAUUCCCAGUGUAGCGGUGAAAUGCGUAGAUAUUGGGAGGAACACCAGUGGCGAAGGCGGCUCACUGGACUGGUACUGACGCUGAGGCGCGAAAGCGUGGGGAGCAAACAGG